rnacentral:rRNA from 1 species
GGGUCAUGAGGCUGGUCGUGCCACCGGUACGUACUGGUCUCACUGAUUCCUCCUUCCUGAAGAACCGUAAUGCCAUUAAUUUGGUGUUGCGGGGAAACAGGACUGUUACUUUGAAAAAAUUAGAGUGUUUAAAGCAAGCUAACGCUUGAAUACAUUAGCAUGGAAUAAUGAAAUAGGACGAUCGAUCCUAUUUUGUCGGUUUCUAGGAUUGACGUA